rnacentral:tRNA from 1 species
AGCCGAUGUAGCUCAGUUGGUAGAGCAGCUCAUUCGUAAUGAGCUGGUCGCCGGUUCGAGUCCGGCCAUCGGCUU